GUCAGGCCAGCAUCAGUUUGGGCGGUCGGAUAAGGGCUUCGGGAAUGUAGCUCCUCUCGGGGAGUGUUAUAGCCCGUUGCGAAAUGCGGCCAGCUUGGACUGAGGUCCGCGCUUCGGCUAGGAUGCUGGCGUAAUGGUUGUAAGCGGCCCGUCUUGAAACACGGACCAAGGAGUCUAACAUCUGUGCGAGUGUUUGGGUGUCAAACCCGUACGCGUAAUGAAAGUGAACGGAGGCGGGAACCUCUCGGGGUGCACCGUCGACCGAUCCUGAUGUCUUCGGAUGGAUUUGAGUAAGAGCAUAGCUGUUGGGACCCGAAAGAUGGUGAACUAUGCCUGAAUAGGGUGAAGCCAGAGGAAACUCUGGUGGAGGCUCGCAGCGGUUCUGACGUGCAAAUCGAUCGUCAAAUUUGGGCAUAGGGGCGAAAGACUAAUCGAACUAUCUAGUAGCUGGUUCCUGCCGAAGUUUCCCUCAGGAUAGCAGUAACGUUUUCAGUUUUAUGAGGUAAAGCGAAUGAUUAGAGGCCUGGGGGUUGAAACAACCUUCGCCUAUUCUCAAACUUUAAAUAUGUAAGAAGUCCUUGUUGCUUAGUUGAACGUGGACAUUUGAAUGUAUCGUUACUAGUGGGCCAUUUUUGGUAAGCAGAACUGGCGAUGCGGGAUGAACCGAACGCGGAGUUAAGGUGCCGGAAUGCACGCUCAUCAGACACCACAAAAGGUGUUAGUUCAUCUAG
rnacentral:rRNA from 1 species